GACCUGAAACACAAUAAAGAAAUACAAGAAGACAUUUUGACUGGAGAAUCUCUCACACAGAUAUGGCUUCAUUCCCCUGGCAUAAAUUCAGUGUUGUGGUAAUCACACUGGAGUCUGAAAUCAUGUUUUCUCUUUUAACUGGUCCUGCAUGGACCACAGCACCUCACACAGCCUCAUUGCUGGUUGGGAAAUGCCCCACAUUAGCAUGCAGGCCAAUGGAGGCAGACACACACCUAACAGGAUUUUAAAACCCGCUGAAGUUUUUCUCAUUAUAAUCGGUGGGAAUUAAGGGCCUGACCUGUGCAGUGUAUUCAAAAAGCCAGACGGGCCGCAGUUUAUAUAUUUAGAUGCUCGUGUACCUUGGAAAAUCUACUUUUAAUUUCCAUGGUUCAGCCUUUCUGCUCAAAUAGGCAGGCUACCUUUGACAUGGAUAUUUGUGCCAGACCUAUGACAAAGCUGCAAAGGCACAACGGGAGUUGGGCCCUUGUGACACUGGUGUCUACAGAUGCCUCAGGUGUUCCUCAGGAACGAUCAGUUCUUGCUGAAUACGAAACCACAGGUUACGACAGGGAAGUGAACACCAUGAGCAAACCACUCCAUCACGUCUGGUCUAACAAUGCGACAGGUAGAGGAGAACAGCACAUGUGAUACCGCUGCUCUUAUUCACACGAGGAAAACCUUUUUCUGUUAUUUAAACACUACUUACCGAUUGAAUAACACAAACCCUUGCGGCAUAUAAUUGUGACAAGACAAGGACCUCAAGACACAAAGUUUUGAGUUGCACUAUUUUCUCACUGGAAACCCUCCCAGAAUACCAACAUGAAAAUCUGCUCUGCUCCGUGUUACAGUAUUCCCCAGGCUAGCAGGAUUGGGGACUGAAUAGAAAUUCCCUUUUCUCCCCACCCGUAUUUCUCUUUGAAAAAGGAGUUUCUACUGAUAAUCAAAGAUUAGCUAUUACCAGUUGAUGUUCAAAGCACUUCACAUACAAUACUCAAUACUCACUUCACACUCAAUAUGAUAACAGCCCUGGCUAAACAGUUUUAUUACAAGCUAGUUUUCUCAGUUUCAAGAACAUCAGACUGGCCACACCUGGAGCACACCAAGGGGCCAUUUAACCCAAUCUGCCUUCUCAGCUGUGGCCAGUAGCAAAUAAUUCAGAAGAAAGCCUAAGAACAGGGGAAGUACAGCGUGACCGAUGUGACCUCCCAGGUGCCAGCAGCCUGCUGCCUUGGGAUUUCCCCAGCCAGGGAGUACACUGACAGCUAAGGGUGUAGUCCCAAACCUAAUCUGUCUCUCCUUUAGGAGAAGCAGUUUGUAUCCAGCACGUGGCACCUCGCCCAGCUCAGCAGUGGGACUGCAGCCUCUGCAAGUAAGCCUUAGAGGCCAGUAAUUACGUAGAGCUGAGAUGACCAACUGAGGUGGCCUGCUCGUCACCCAUGGUGACCCAAUGACCCACAGUCCUUUCUUGCUGCACCACGAGAAGAGGCUAGCCACACGGAAUGAUGCGCUCUGCUAGGCACAUACUUAAUUUAUAAGUGCUAAUUAAUUGAAUAACGGGUUGGUUAGCAAGGCCCCCGAUCUAUACUGUAUUCAAAACACCAUCUGGAAAACGGCUGGUGAGUUUAGCAAGAUGGAUGCUCUGUUAAAUCGGAUACCUUUGUGAGAGAAGCUGUCCCGGCAUAACUGAUGAGGCUCUAUUUAACGGUGAAGACGUGUAUCUGUUCUCCAGGAGAACUUACGUGAGAUAGCAAACGUUUGGUCAUUGGGAUGGUGAUCAGCGUGACAAACAGUGCAAUGAAUUUCCUGUUUUAAAUGGAAAGUAAACAGUCUACUCAAAGCACUUUAAAUGUCAUCAGUCUCUUAGGAAGCGCACAUCAGGAGGUUGUGACUCUGAAAGCAGUUUAGCUCUUCAGUGUAACUUUUGCCUCCACCUAGGCCCACUGGAUGCACACAGAUGAGAGCAGCCACCUUUACACUGAUUUCCUUGUUCCAGGACGGGGAGGUUCUGACUUGCCUCUGAAUUGAAAGGCUGAAGCACUGGACAGAUAUUGCUGUUUCAGUUCUUCCAUGUUUAUCUCAGGGAUCAUGUUUCCAGCAAACUGCUGCAGUUGAGUUCCCAUAACAAAAUACCACAGGAGAAGUCACCCACAUCAGGUGCUCACAACAGGCCUGUCAAUCCUUCUCUCCCCUCUCGGCUUCAAAUCACACUGAAGAGUAGAUGCACAGUGCUAUAGCCCCUGUUUUCUAACAAGUGAACAUGGUACAUGGCAGCAUGCAGAAAGCUGGUGGCAGAAGAAAGAGCAGAACUGGCAUUUUGUCGCCUCAGGUAUGGCUCCAGGCAGGUGACAGCAGCAUCCUUGGUAGGUGACAGGCACCAGAGAGGGGUGCAGCUGGGAGCCUCGCACAGAGCCAUGGGCAGCUGCCCAAAGCCAGCAUCUGCUGGGCCCCAGAGAGAGAACGAUGCAUGUCUUGCCUCAUGUAUGGGUUUGACUGUAUGGAGAUGCUCCGGAAACCUAAUUUCAAUGAACUUUUGCAAGCUAACAAAACAUUUAAAAACUUAAUUAAAUCACAUUAAAGCCCCAAGUGGGCAUUUAUACUUAGAUUUAAAGGUGUGUUUAUUCUCUGCAGUAUACUUCACCUCCAAAGCAAACUGAAGAACAUUUAAUUUAGUCCACCCUAAUACUUACUAAAGGUGUCCACUAUAAUGCAGUUGAUUCACCUAUGUGAAAUUCAUGCUUUUAGUUCAUGCUUUUAGUUCACUGAGAUGACUUUUUCCUGAGAUUUCUUCUGUAACGAAGCCAUUCCAGAGAGAGAAGAAGGGACUUGUUUAGGAUCAUCCAAAAGAAGCUCCGGGAGCAGACGCUGGGGAGCCCAGACAUACACAAGGACUCAGGGAAGCAGCUUUUCUCUCCACCACCCCUCUGUCACUGCUGGAAAUGUUUUCAGUGGAUCUAGCCCUGCUGUACUCUUUAUCUACCCCUACCACAGUCAUACCUUGCUGCAGACCUGAACAGCAGAGGCAAGGUAGGACGAGCAAGCUAGCAGGUGGCUCGUCUGGCUGCAAGCAACACCGUACAAAAAAUUCAUGGAAAUGCCACUGUUCUUUAAGACUGCAAAGUCUGUGGAUCAUUUAUUCUGCCCUUUCAGCAUAACGCAGACAGUAUAAUUUCAUUCCAUUACUUCUUCAGUCAGCCUGAUAGCUUAUCUUUGACUGAAGCACAAAGUCAGGUAUUUGCUGCAGUCAGAUUGUUCCAGGCAUUUUGCUGGAUGCAUGUUUUCCAUUGAAACCAAUUUUCCUUUUAGUAAACUACUUUUUUUUAUAUUUUCCUCUCUGCCAGAUAUGCCUUUCUCUGCAAAUCCAUAGUCACUGCAUUCUUGGGAUUGCGGCUUUGAUGUGUAGCAGCUUAAAAAAAAAAAAGAGAGAGAGAGAGAACAGAAACCCAUUGCUUUCCAGGGAUCCAAAAUUAUUAAAUCAGCAUGAAUGCAAAUUUCUGCAAACUGUAAACACCUCUCUGAUGACAUCACUGCUAUAUCUAGGUUCUUAAGGAUGUACAGUGGCUCCAUUUGGCCACCUCCCAUGUCAGCAAUGCUGCUGGAACAGGAACACCAAAGCCUUGGAGCUUUAUAGGCACCACAAAGCUCAGGCACUCUAUAGAAGCCAAAAGGAGAGCCUGGCAGGCAGAUUCAAAACAGCUCUGAAACCCAUGAAUUUAGUCUCCUCCCUACCCCAAUGGUGGUGUGAGGUUGGGCAGUGCAGAGAGACUCAAAUGCACAGAGGAAUAAAGCAUAAAAAUGAGGAAGACAGAAAUAUACAGGAUUGCCUCUGUAGAGUAGAUAAUUCACUCCUAUAAAUAUUUUAAUCUUACCAGACUAGACUUAACCACACAACAUCAGCAUCUUGGGACAGCAUCUUGGGACUAUCAGUAAUACUCAGAAUUUAUGUAUGAAGUUUACCAGUGCUGGGUGUGAACACGAUCAAGAAGCAAGAAGCACUAUUGCUUACAUUUUCCUAAGGCAGAAGCUGAGAGAUGGUAAAAAGUGACUUGACCUUGGUGUUUUCUAUGGAACUAGGGGCAAUGCCCAUAAGUCAAAUGCUAAUAACUAUAUGUUUGGCACCCUGAUUCACACACCUAUCUGGCCAGAGCUCAUGGGGUCCACAGCAGAGCUGAGUGCAGUGGUUAGGCAGAGAACUGUGGACAAGAUCCUCUGUAGCAAGUCCUAGAUACCCACCCAUCCCACCCUCUCUAUUACCAGGAACCCUAGGGCCCAGACCUUUCCUCAAGCUUCCAGUCCUCUUUGUGGAAAACUACAGAGCUCCACCAAAGCCCUGUUGAAACAAUGUUGGAGUCGUCAUUAACCUGUCAGGGACUUAUGCCCAGACCUUUAUUAUAGUACCCUUACGUGAAGCUGAAUAAAACAUAGGAUAUUCAGCGGAGUCCUUGACAAAUGCAUUACAUUUGCCUAAUUUUCUCAUUUGCCACAGAAGGGAGUUGGAAUUAUUCUUUCUGAGCAAAUGAGUUUUAGCUUUUCUCAUUACCUUUUAAUACUCUCUAGUGCACAGAAUGAGAGGAAGGGUCUUUCAGCAAUUUUGGCUGAAAGUAAGAUGAUUAAAGGUUAGAACUGAGAGUAUGAGGGAAUUUGCCACCGUUGUAGAGAAGUUUCCAGCCUGCUUCUGCUAGUCUUGACUGUAUGAGAAGUUUAAAAGCAGAAAAAAAAAAAAAAAAAAAAAAAAAAAAAGACAAGAGACAGAUAAAUCCUUAUCCAGGUAGUAGAAUGGGCUGUUCAGGUCAGACACGGUGAUUCACAUAGGUUGAUCUAAUGUAAAUAACCAACUUAAAAACAGAGGGUUUAUCCAUACAUAGCUGUCACUUUCAGCCUCUGUUCAGUCACCACAUAUCACCACAUAUCACUCCAGUGAGUUAACUUUAUGCCAACAUUAGAGCUGUGAAGUCUUACACCUUCUAAGGUAAAGAGAGGAGCAUAUUAUAUUGAGUGGGGCAUCCCACAUACCUGAAUCUGUCAUCUGACCUAAAGGAGUAUCCAGUCUCCUCCAAACCAUUGCAGCUUCCACUGCACAGUGCCCUGCAUGUUGGAAUUGAAAGAAGCUGAUGUGAGCAAGCUCCGAGCACGCGGCUGUGGUAUCUUGCUGAUUAAAAAUACUAAAUCAGAGGCAGGUCAGAAGCCUCUUGCACACCCUCCUCAAGCCUAGACUUUGUAAUAGGUGCAUGCCAUUCCUAGGAGUUCCACCAAGGUCAUCGGACUACUACCUAGGUUGAGCAGCUGCCAGAACCAUGCAGGCUGAGUCACCGCCUAGCUGGACUGUAUACCUUGCCAUCGUUGCACUGCAUGAUCCUUGAAGGUCUUUUCCAACCCAGAGGGAUCUAUGGGUCUCCGAGCAGCUUGAGGCGGGGCUUGCCAGUACAGCAGUACAGGCCACAGCUGAGAGCAGUGACAGAACGCAUCCCCCAAAAGGAAACUAGCUAUCCAGACAAAAAUGCUUUUUUUUGCUGACAUAACUGUGUCAACAUCAGGGCUUUCACAAGCUUUGUUGUUGUUGUUUUUUUUUUCUUUAUUUUUUAUUUUUUCACACUCCUAUCCAGCUCAGCUUCACCAGCAAAACUGUGAAAUGUAGGCCAAAUGCCCUGAGACAGCUAAUCCUGCUUACUUAUAUAAGACCAAUCAAAGAUGUAUGGCUGAUCACAGGUAGCAAACAUUGCAACACACAAUAGCGUGCAGGAGAAGGAAGCAGAACACACUCCAUUUUGCAGUGUUUUCAGGGAAGCAUUUCCCUGCGCACCAUGCAGAGCGUGGGCAGGGCUUCAGGAACCUGAAGGUCACCCCGGCACACCUCCACGCAGCAUCGCCUGCCUCGCCCUGCUCUGCGGCUGUGGGACACCGGCCCAGAGGACACCGGCUGUGACAGAGGCACGUGUACGAGGUGCACAGAGAGUGGGAGGAAGGAGCAGACCCGCAGCAGGCUGUCAGCAAGGCAGCCCUUCUGCACGGGGGCACGCAGCGGCCCCCAGACCGCUCUUUGUGGCGCCGUGGAUGAAAGACAGACUUAAGGCAGGUGAUGCCGCAUGUAGUGUAUAUCCUAUGGCAGACGACCUGUAAUUCUUUGUCUGUACGAUGUUAGAAAGCGGGGGUGGUGUUUUUAAAGAUAUUUUCUAUAGUGGAGCUAAGAAUGGCAGGUUUCACAGUGAAGCUGUUGUUCAAUUAAAUGUGAUUCAAUGUGUUUGCAGAUCUGACUGAGACAGGGAAGUAAUAAAACAAAGAUACUAAAACUUA